rnacentral:lncRNA from 12 species
UACAAGUUGCCAUGGGAUGACUUGGUCACCUUGCUGGUAUAAGCUUCUGUGACAUCACCAUUUGGCACACUUGUUGGAAACUCAACAGAUACAUCGAUAUAAGAACAAACCUGGAUGUGAAAGGACAUUAACACUUGGACCAAUUGCUGAGUAAUUCAUCUAAGAAUAUAAAGAGAAACCUGGAAGAAACUAGGAGUUACCAGCAGAAAAUGCAAAGGGCAGCGAUGAG